rfam:Oryza glaberrima chromosome 3 Oglab03_0145_10, whole genome shotgun sequence.
UUUAAAUGCAGUUAUGGGUUUCUUUGUUCAACGACUGACCGUCUAUCUUUUUUGAUUUUUUUUAUGAUUAAUACUUGUACUAUUGUUAGAUGAUAAAAUAUGAAUAGUACUUUAUGCAUGACUUAUUUUUUUUUAAUUAUUUUAUAAAUUUUGUAAAUAAGAUGAACGGUUAAACGUUAGAUACGGAAACCCACGACUGCACUUAAA